rnacentral:rRNA from 1 species
UACGAAGGGAGCUAGCGUUGUUCGGAGUUACUGGGCGUAAAGGGCGCGUAGGUGGCUUGGCAAGUUAGGUGUGAAAGCCCAGGGCUCAACCCUGGAAUAGCACUUAAGACUGCCUUGCUUGAAUUCGGUAGAGGUGAGUGGAAUUCCCAGUGUAGAGGUGAAAUUCGUAGAGAUUGGGAAGAACACCCGUGGCGAAGGCGGCUCACUGGACCGACAUUGACACUGAGGCGCGAAAGCGUGGGGAUCAAACAGG